UACGUAGGGUGCGAGCGUUGUCCGGAAUUAUUGGGCGUAAAGAGCUCGUAGGCGGUCUGUCGCGUCGGCUGUGAAAACUCGGGGCUCAACUCCGAGCUUGCAGUCGAUACGGGCAAACUAGAGUGUGGUAGGGGAGACUGGAAUUCCUGGUGUAGCGGUGAAAUGCGCAGAUAUCAGGAGGAACACCGGCGGCGAAGGCGGGUCUCUGGGCCAUAACUGACGCUGAGGAGCGAAAGCGUGGGGAGCGAACAGG
rnacentral:rRNA from 1 species